rnacentral:pre_miRNA from 1 species
GGCGUAGCCCGGAUGGAGCGGAGCGCAAUCCGGGGCCGUCAGCCGCGGAUACAGUGAUCCCGGAUUACGCUUCGCUCCAUCCGGGCUACGAA